GGAGUUGGUAGCUCAGUGGUAGAGUGCAUGCUUAUUGGGUAUGAUCUCCUGGGUGCAAUCCCCAGCUUCUCCC